rnacentral:rRNA from 1 species
UACGGAGGGUGCAAGCGUUAUCCGGAUUUACUGGGUUUAAAGGGUGCGUAGGUGGGCCUGUAAGUCAGUGGUGAAAUCUUCAAGCUUAACUUGGAAACUUCCAUUGAUACUAUAGGUCUUGAAUUAUCUGGAGGUAAGCGGAAUAUGUCAUGUAGCGGUGAAAUGCUUAGAGAUGACAUAGAACACCCAUUGCGAAGGCAGCUUACUACGGAUUGAUUGACACUGAGGCACGAAAGCGUGGGGAUCAAACAGG